rnacentral:lncRNA from 1 species
GUUAACCUCUGUCUCUGUGUAUUAACAGGUCGUCAUGUUAACCUCUGUGUAUUAACAGGUCGUCGUGUUAACCUCUGUGUAUUAACAGGUCGUCGUGUUAACCUCUGUGUAUUAACAGGUCGUCGUGUUAACCUCUGUCUCUGUGUAUUAACAGGUCGUCAUGACGCCGUGUUAACCUCUGUCUCUGUGUAUUAACAGGUCGUCGUGUUAACCUCUGUCUCUGUGUAUUAACAGGUCGUCGUGUUAACCUCUGUCUCUGUGUAUUAACAGGUCGUCGUGACGCCGUGUUAACCUCUGUCUCUGUGUAUUAACAGGUCGUCAUGACGCCGUGUUAACCUCUGUCUCUGUGUAUUAACAGGUCGUCGUGUUAACCUCUGUCUCUGUGUAUUAACAGGUCGUCGUGUUAACCUCUGUCUCUGUGUAUUAACAGGUCGUCGUGUUAACCUCUGUCUCUGUGUAUUAACAG